rnacentral:lncRNA from 1 species
CUGGCCUUGACCUCGCUCAGGAGUCACGGCUCCCUCACAUCCUUACAGAAGGGCUCCUUUGACGCAGCUCCAUCCCUCUGACGUACCUUUGGCAUUUGCAGUUUGUCAUAGAGAGGAAGAGAAGUGCAUCACCUGGCUGCUUUUCCUCUGCCCAUCACCCAGUCUUGCUCUGGGCUCCCUGCCACCACCUGCUCAUCCCUCCGUCACAUCCCAAGGGAGCACUGGUCCAUGUAGCACCUGCACAAAGAGGAACUACCAGACUUUCCAAAAUGUAUUCCAAAGAAAUGCAGAGAUAGAUUCCCGACCGGCAUUAAUCAGUGCUGAUUAAGUCAUGGAGCUACGCAAUUUCUGCCUGCACAAAUCAGGAAUAAACCCAUUCACCAAGCUCUUGCUAGAUGGAAAAAUGGAGAAAGU